AAUAAAUGUAUAACCCAGUGGAAUGACCCUUCCUUCCUUUCUUUCUCCUUUUCUUUCUUUCUUUCUUUCUUUCUUUCUUUCUUUCUUUCUUUCUUUCUUUCUUUCUUUCUUUCUUUCUUUCUUUCUUUCUUUCUUUCUUUCUUUCUUUCUUUCUUUCUUUCUUUCUUUCUUUCUUUCUUUCUUUCUUUCUUUCUUUCUUUCUUUCUUUCUUUCUUUCUUUCUUUCUCUCUUUCUUUCUUUCCCAAAUAUUGGCUUGCCCAGGGGCACAUAGCUAGGAUAUAAAUAAUGACAGAUUUGAACCCAGGAGGCCUGUCUCCAGGCCUAACUCUUUACCCACUGAGUUACCUAGCUGACCCCCAUCAAUAUCCUUUCUAAAAUAUAAUGCCCAGAACAAUAUACAAUACUCUAGAUGUGUUCUGCCUAGGUCAGAUUCAGGAGUCCUGUCACUUCCUCUGCUCUGGAAAUCCUACAUGUAUAAAUAAGUUUAUAAUGAUUUUUUGACUAUCAUAUGGCAAUGUCAUCUCUUAUUAAACUCGUAGCAAUCUAAUUCCCCCAUGUUUUUCACUCAAAUUUUAUUGAGUUAAACCUUCCCCAUCCUGGAUUUGUGAAGGAUUCUUUGAACCCAAAUGGAUUUGGACUUGUUCUGUGAGAAUUAUAAUCUAGUUGGAGAUUCAAGGCAUAUAGAUGGAAGAGUAGAGUAAUAAUAAUCAUAAGAGCUUGAGGGAUAGUCUUCAAAGUGGAGAUGAAGGCUUGACCAGAAGAUACUGUGUAACCAACCAAUCAUCUAGGAAGGUGGGCAAAAUCUCCCACUUCCCCUUUUCUUAUAGCCAAUCAUGAGUUGGCAUCCAAGAUAACUAUUUUACUCCCUCCAACAUUGCUUAAUCCUGUUGUCUCCUUCCUCCUACUACUGUGGUUGCUCUGGGGAUACUCAUCCCCAUCUCUUGGGGGCCUUUCAAUCUAACUUGACCUAGGCACUCAUAGCAAUAUACAGGCAAUAUACAGGCAUCCUCGCCCCAUCAGCCAAGUGCCCUUGUUCACACCCUGUCCCUUAGUUACCACAGUGAUGGGCUCUAUACACUGUGACAGCGGCUGUUGAGUAAGCCUUUACCACCAUUUCUCUCUCUCUCUUUUUUUAAAAUAGAAAUGAGUAGGUGGCAAUGGAAAACAGAGCUGAUUGUUAAAUGAUCAAUGUGGGCC
rnacentral:lncRNA from 1 species